UCCAAAUUGAAAUCCCAUUUAUGCCAAACGCUUGUCUCCGUCUCUCGUCUCUCUCGACUUCUCCUUCCAGUUCCAGAGUUCCAGUGCUAGUCUUCCAGUUCCAGAGUUCCAGAUUUCAUCUUCACAGAUUUUUCAAACACUCUUUGUAACUGGGCUUCAUCUGACAUAUCGCUUCUGUCGAGUGGCUGGGCAUUUUUGUUGUCGAACAAGUGAGCUCGAGACUUCGAGUUCCUAUAUGUGGGCCGUAGGUCGGUGGGGACUGGGGUAUAAUCUAAUUGGAGUCUGGAGAGAGGCGUGAGAACUGAGACGUGAGUGCAUGAAUCGUCGUCUUAUCCAUUGUGUUCAACUUCCAUAUUAGGGAUCUGACUCGUGAGUUGUGACAGUGGAAUUUUCGAAGGUGUAACUCUACAGUUUUCGUUGAAAUUCUACUUCUCAGGAUCAACAAUUGCACAGGCGUACAUAAUAACUAUAUUGAGAACUCUAACUGCCCCGACAAUUACAGGAGCGGCCCUGGUAGUGUUCUAUAACAAAGGACACCAUGGACGUCGAUUCGCAGCAGACCAU